rnacentral:rRNA from 1 species
GACGAACCGUGCGAACGUUGUUCGGAAUCACUGGGCUUAAAGGGCGCGUAGGCGGCCGACCAAGUCCGGGGUGAAAGCCCCCAGCUUAACUGGGGAAGUGCCUCGGAUACUGGAUUGCUCGAGGGAGGUAGGGGUCGAGGGAACUUCUGGUGGAGCGGUGAAAUGCGUUGAUAUCAGAAGGAACGCCGGUGGCGAAAGCGCUCGACUGGAUCUCUUCUGACGCUGAGGCGCGAAAGCUAGGGGAGCAAACGGG